AAGUACUCGAGGAAGAGUGGCUGUUUCCGGCUCUUCAGUGAAAGCCUCUGAAUCAAUACAGCAAUUUGAGAGAGUCACUCGCGCUCUUUGAAGACCGCGCGGGAAUUCGCUCACCAAAGGACAUACUGUGAGCUGUUUGGACUCUCAUUCUGACGGCACCCAUUCACUGCAGAUGAUCCAUUGGUGAGCAAGUGAUAUAGGCUAAUGCAAAAUUUCUCCAAACCUCUUCCGAUGAAUAAAACAAACUCAUCUUGGAUGGCCUGAGGCACCAUCAGCAGGACGAAGAGCAGCACCAUUCCCACCAAAAUGCAGGAGAUCGUCACCAUCAUCUUCAUCCCCUCGUUGCUGGUUUUCUUCACCGGGUCCUUCACCGCGGUCUUCACCAGCGGAGGAAUGCUCGUACCAAGUGGCUUCCUGCAAGUCUGGCAGGUUGUAGCUCUUCGUAAGAGAGGUGCGCUUCACUUUGGUCCACACGGGGCUGUCCAAAGGACGGUAUUCCAGGAUGAAGGAGGUGAUUGGACAACCGCCAU